rnacentral:rRNA from 1 species
CCUACGGGUGGCAGCAGUGGGGAAUAUUGGACAAUGGGGGGAACCCUGAUCCAGCCAUGCCGCGUGUGUGAAGAAGGCCCUCGGGUUGUAAAGCACUUUCAGUGAGGAAGAACGCCUGGUGGUUAAUACCCAUGAGGAAAGACAUCACUCACAGAAGAAGCACCGGCUAACUCCGUGCCAGCAGCCGCGGUAAUACGGAGGGGGCGAGCGUUAAUCGGAAUUACUGGGCGUAAAGCGCGCGUAGGUGGCUUGAUAAGCCGGUUGUGAAAGCCCCGGGCUCAACCUGGGAACGGCAUCCGGAACUGUCAAGCUAGAGUGCCGGAGAGGAAGGUAGAAUUCCCGGUGUAGCGGUGAAAUGCGUAGAGAUCGGGAGGAAUACCAGUGGCGAAGGCGGCCUCCUGGACUGACACUGACACUGAGGUGCGAAAGCGUGGGUAGCAAACAGGAUUAGAUACCCUAGUAGUC